GGGAAUGUGGCUUAGUGGUAGAGUGCUUGUCUAGCAUACAUGAAGUCUUGGGUUUAAUUCCUCAGUACCA
rnacentral:tRNA from 1 species